UGCAUUUGAAGUAGAGAAUGUGCUGCUACACACCCACUGGGUCAAAAGAAAUGCGGGAACGGGCACACCCGCCAGAUGCA
rnacentral:ncRNA from 12 species